CCUACGGUGCGCAGCAGUGGGGAAUAUUGGACAAUGGGCGAAAGCCUGAUCCAGCCAUGCCGCGUGUGUGAAGAAGGCCUUCGGGUUGUAAAGCACUUUCAGUGGGGAAGAAAGCCUUGGGGCUAAUACCCUCGAGGAAGGACAUCACCCACAGAAGAAGCACCGGCUAACUCCGUGCCAGCAGCCGCGGUAAUACGGAGGGUGCGAGCGUUAAUCGGAAUUACUGGGCGUAAAGCGCGCGUAGGCGGUCUGAUAAGCCGGUUGUGAAAGCCCCGGGCUCAACCUGGGAACGGCAUCCGGAACUGUCAGGCUAGAGUGCAGGAGAGGAAGGUAGAAUUCCCGGUGUAGCGGUGAAAUGCGUAGAGAUCGGGAGGAAUACCAGUGGCGAAGGCGGCCUUCUGGACUGACACUGACGCUGAGGUGCGAAAGCGUGGGUAGCAAACAGGAUUAGAUACCCCAGUAGUC
rnacentral:rRNA from 1 species